UCUACAUUGUGUGCAAUCACCAAGAGUGG
rnacentral:piRNA from 1 species